UACAGAGGGUGCGAGCGUUGUUCGGAAUUACUGGGCGUAAAGCGUGCGUAGGCGGUCUUUUAAGUCUGCUGUGAAAUCCCCGGGCUCAACCUGGGAAUGGCAGUGGAUACUGGGAGGCUAGAGUGUGUCAGAGGAUGGUGGAAUUCCCGGUGUAGCGGUGAAAUGCGUAGAGAUCGGGAGGAACAUCAGUGGCGAAGGCGGCCAUCUGGGACAACACUGACGCUGAGGCACGAAAGCGUGGGGAGCAAACAGG
rnacentral:rRNA from 1 species